rnacentral:lncRNA from 1 species
AGCCACUGUGAGCUCCUCAUACGGUAUUUGAGCUGUUUGUGCUGCCUGAGUUUUGUAUCUCAGGAUAAUUUCCCUUUAUUUCCUUAGUGUUUUAUUCUUUGGUUGGGUUCAGAGGGAAAAUGAAUGGUGGAAAUCUGAACAUGCUUUGACCUCCUUUUCCAGUUUGUAAACGUAGGUUUUUGGAAUAAUGGCACAUUUCCAAAAAUAAAAGGUACUGUGAGUUAUCAUGGAGGUGAGAGGUGGGAAACCAGUAUUUGA